CCCAGUGGCAAUCAUUAGAAAAGUAAAAACUACACCUAAAUCUUCUCUUCUGAAAGUCUACACGAAGGAGGAUCAUGCCCUAAAAUUUGCACAUCAGACCACUGUAUAAAAGAGUGAACAAGGGCAAGAACAACGCUGUAAGCUGCCACAAGAGAGGUCUUUGUUUAAAGAAGAUUUCAGGUGUCAUGAGCGUCACUGCGUAUCUCCCACUGAGCCCUUUGAGAUGAUUACAGCCAUCAGGGUCUGAGCCCUGGUUUGCCUUCCUCUUUUCCUCCACCUACUCAGCUGUCUCUCCCCCUCCUUUUGUUCAUCAGUAACAGCUUAAAAGUUUUCUAAAGACCUUCUUUUCAAAACAUUGUCCCUUUCCCGGAAUGUCCUCUUCUACUGGGUAUUGAAAGUCACAUUUCAUGGUGUGACUGUAUGGUAUUUUAAGAUGCCUUUAGUGCUACUGGAAGAUGAUGCUACCAUAAGUGCUAUACCAUUCUGUUGAAUGGCUGGAGGGAUUUAUGAUGCACGAAGUGCAAGAUGACAACUAUUCUGGAGGAUAAGAUAUGUGAUCUGGAAAUGUGAAGCUUGGCAUAGUGCAGAAUCAAAGAACAUCUUUUCUGGCAACUAGAUUUCAAAUUUAUUACCACAGACUCCACAAGAAAAGGGUUAGAGGCAAGGAAACUGGUGAGGUUGCAAAUUGAGCAAGUGGACUAGUGAUCUGUAAAAAGAGACACUUUAUCCAGUUAAUGAUAUUGUCUCAGUAUCAGAUCCUUAUUGAGUUAUCUACUGAGGAACAGAAGACAAAUUUAGAGGGACAUCUUCGAUGAACAUCUUUACUAUAAGAAAUGAACUGGAACAGAGAUCUCCUUAAUAUAUUUUAAACUCAAGAAGAUGCAGUCCAUAGAUUAUAUGAAAAUAAACGUAAAGAAAAUUCAUAAAGGAAGGAGGGACAAAAAAUGUGCUGUUUUCCAAGUGCAAAGUUAUGGAAAUGUAACAGUAGUGUUGGAUGUGAUGACUGAUCAAUGCAAAUCAUGCUCUGCUGACAGUUCACAUUGGAACAAAAAAAUGUGGAACAGCACGAAUAGUAAAGGUUUGAGAGCUGCAGAAGAAAAGCAAAGAAAAAAUCAAAUGAUUUUUCUGGUUUUAUGAACAACAUAAGAGAGAACAUCUUGGAGAUGAGUGGAUGUACAGCUGACUGGUGGGAAACAGAAGAUUUUGAUUUUCUGGAGCACUGAACUUUGUGACAGUUUACUGGGAAUUGGUGCCAUUUGCCCAGAACAUGCUGUAUCUUAUGGGUAGGGAGAUAAUUUUCUCAGCUAGAGACUAGCUUGACUAAGUAAGAAGACAAGUAGCUACAUGAACCAAGGGUGUAAGGACAAUACAGGCAGUAACCAUUUAAACUCAGUGUGUCAUAAACGAAGUGGUUUGAUAUGGCAAGAAUGUGAAGGCAAGACAUUUUUCACUAAAUAUUUACCCAUGCUACAAGACUGACUAAUGAGCUAGGGGAAAUUGUAAUUCUCACUGAUGAGAAAAAAUUUGGUUUAACUGGCAGUAUUGAAGCCUAGUGGGAAGAUCUGUAUGAGGAGAAUGUUAAAAUCUCUAUCUGUAGCCUGUUUAGGAAGUAUAGAGUGAAAAAAUAAAUUUUAUAUUAAAGAUACCAUUGGUAACUCAGGACUACAACAUCUCGAAUGCAUAUGAAUCAAUGUACUAACUCAAAUGCUCAAGAGAUCAGAGCUGCACCAGAGGAUUUCAUGAAUGCCUAUGUGCACACUUGGUUUGGUAAUGUAUAGAACAAACAACUGUACGCCAAAGGACCCUAGCCUGGGAGCUGUAGACAGAUAGUGAAAGACACAGCUGCAAAAUGUCAUUAGAUUUCUAAAAAUAAAAAUUAAAAAAGAGAUUUUUUUUCUGAUAAAAAGGUGUCUGUCCUCCUGUACUUUGAAUGCAGUGACUCACUCUAUACUUUCAAGUUGUCAUGAACUCAAACCUUUCAAAGACAGAAUGUUGCAAAUGUUAAAUAUUUUUUUUUCUCAAGCCAUAGUUUUUGCCAUAAACUUCGCAUUAAUACUAAGUGGUUAGAUGUUGCAAGUUAGGCAUGUCCACCAAAGACGUUGACCUGCACAAAAACAAAUAUUUUUGCCUUCUCAGGAAAAAUUAAUAACUCCAUUAAAGACAAGAGCUAAAAAACGCUCUAUGAAGUAUCUGUUUUCUGCUGGCUUAUAGGACAAUAGUCCAGAAAAUGCAUCAGAAUUCUGGGGAAAUUGAGCCUAGCACACCAUGAGUGCCAGCAGAGGGGCAUGCCCUUUUGGUUCUCUGCCAACCUGUAUAAACUGAUGGAGCUUGGUAUCCAUCAGGAAGGAGCAAUCUGCUUCUACCCUGUCUGUCUUACUUAGGGAAGACUGAAGCCUCUCCACGCAGUGGAGAACUUACUCCUUUCAGCAGAGCACAAUUUCAGUGGAUUCCUCCUCUGGCCAUGCUCAUAUUUGUGCAUUCG